UACGUAGGGGGCUAGCGUUGUCCGGAUUUAUUGGGCGUAAAGAGCGUGUAGGCGGCCAGGUAGGUCUGGUGUGAAAACUCGAGGCUUAACCUCGAGAUGUCAUCGGAAACCAUCUGGCUAGAGUCCGGAAGAGGAGAGUGGAAUUCCAGGUGUAGCGGUGAAAUGCGUAGAUAUCUGGAGGAACACCGGUGGCGAAGGCGGCAUCCUGGACCGAGAUUGACGCUGAUGCGCGAAAGCCAGGGGAGCAAACGGG
rnacentral:rRNA from 1 species